AUUCAAGGGGUGCCUGCCGUGGGCAGGCUGAGAUGAUACCCUCUAUGACCUGAUGCGGGUAAUGCCGACGUAGGGAUGGAUAGAU
rnacentral:ncRNA from 1 species